GUCCACGCCGUAAACGGUGGGCGCUAGGUGUGGGGACCAUUCCACGGUUUCCGUGCCGCAGCUAACGCAUUAAGCGCCCCGCCUGGGGAGUACGGCCGCAAGGCUAAAACUCAAAGGAAUUGACGGGGGCCCCGCACAAGCGGCGGAGUAUGUUGCUUAAUUCGAUGCAACGCGAAGAACCUUACCAAGGCUUGACAUAUACCGAAAACUCAUAGAGAUAUGGGGUCCUUUUGGGCGGUAUACAGGUGGUGCAUGGUUGUCGU
rnacentral:rRNA from 1 species